UAGUCCACGCCGUAAACGAUGAUAACUAGCUGUCCGAACCCACAGGGUUUGGGUGGCGCAGCUAACGCAUUAAGUUAUCCGCCUGGGGGAGUACGGUCGCAAGAUUAAAACUCAAAGGAAUUGACGGGGGCCUGCACAAGCGGUGGAGCAUGUGGUUUAAUUCGAGGCAACGCGAAGAACCUUACUUGGGUUUGACAUAUAUUUGACCGUCCCCGAAACGGGAUUUCUCUUCGGAGCAGAUAUACAGGUGCUGCAUGGCUGUCGUCAGCUCGUGCCGUGAGGUGUUCGGUUAAGUCCGGCAACGAGCGCAACCCAUGUCACUAGUUGCCAACACGUAAUGGUGGGGACUCUAGUGAGACUGCCCGAGUCAAUCGGGAGGAAGGCGUGGACGACGUCAAGUCAGUAUGGCCCUUACACCCAGGGCUGCGCACGUGCUACAAUGGCGACUACAGAAGGCAGCGAGACCGCGAGGUUGAGCAAAUCCGUUAAAAGUCGCCCCAGUUCGGAUUGGAGU
rnacentral:rRNA from 1 species